rnacentral:rRNA from 1 species
GGAUGCGAUCAUACCAGCACUAAAGCACCGGAUCCAUCAGAACUCCGAAGUUAAGCGUGCUUGGGCGAGAGUAGUACUAGGAUGGGUGACCUCCUAGGAAGUCCUCGUGUUGCAUUCCC